CUGGGUUGAUACCACACAGAAAACACCGUUUCACGUUCGAUUACCAAAGUUAAGCAGCGUCGAGUUAGCUCAGUACCUAGCUGAGAGACCGCUCGUGAACAGCAGAUACUGUAA